GUAGUGUGUGGCACAGUGGUGUGAUGGUUAGUGCUAUUGCUUCAGAGUCCAAAGGCCCUAGGUUCAAAUCCUAGUCAUGUAUG